rnacentral:rRNA from 1 species
GCAUAUCAAUAAGCGGAGGAAAAGAAACCAACAGGGAUUGCCCUAGUAACGGCGAAGUGAAGCGGCAAUAGCUCAAAUUUGAAAGCUGGCCUUCUGGUCCGCAUUGUAAUUUGUAGAGGAUGCUUUUAGGCAGCCGCCGGUCUAAGUUCCUUGGAACAGGACGUCAUAGAGGGUGAGAAUCCCGUAUGUGACCGGCUCUGGCACCUUAUGUAAAGCUCCUUCGACGAGUCGAGUUGUUUGGGAAUGCAGCUCUAAAUGGGAGGUAAAUUUCUUCUAAAGCUAAAUACUGGCGAGAGACCGAUAGCGCACAAGUAGAGUGAUCGAAAGAUGAAAAGCACUUUGGAAAGAGAGUUAAAAAGCACGUGAAAUUGUUGAAAGGGAAGCGCUUGCAAUCAGACUUGGACUUGGCUGUUCAACCGGUCUUCUGACCGGCCUACUCAGUCUUGUCCAGGCCAGCAUCAGUUUCGGCGGCCGGAUAAAGGCCCUGGGAAUGUAGCUGUCUCUUCGGGGACAGUGUUAUAGCCCAGGGUGUAAUACGGCCAGCUGGGACUGAGGUCCGCGCUUCGGCUAGGAUGCUGGCGUAAUGGUUGUAAGCGGCCCGUCUUGAAACACGGACCAAGGAGUCUAACAUCUAUGCGAGUGUUAGGGUGUCAAACCCUUACGCGUAAUGAAAGUGAACGGAGGUGGGAACCCGCAAGGGUGCACCAUCGACCGAUCCUGAUGUCUUCGGAUGGAUUUGAGUAAGAGCAUAGCUGUUGGGACCCGAAAGAUGGUGAACUAUGCCUGAAUAGGGUGAAGCCAGAGGAAACUCUGGUGGAGGCUCGCAGCGGUUCUGACGUGCAAAUCGAUCGUCAAAUUUGGGUAUAGGGGCGAAAGACUAAUCGAACCAUCUAGUAGCUGGUCUGC